rnacentral:rRNA from 1 species
CCCUUAGAUGUCCUGGGCUGCACGCGUGCUACACUGAUUAUUUCAACAAGUGUUUUAACUGGAGAGUUCGCGUAAUCCUGAAAUGUUAUCGUGAUGGGAGUAGAGUAUUGUAUUUGUUAAUCUUUAACGAGGAAUUCCUAGUAAGUGUAGGUUUAUAAGUUGUUCUGAUUACGUCCCUGCCCUUUGUACACACCGCCCGUCGCUCCUACCGAUUGAUUGAUCCGGUGAAUUACAUAGAAUUUUGCGUUUUACAUGACGGAAGACGAAGUGUUUUAAACCUUAUCAUUUAGAGGAAGGAGAAGUCGUAACA